AUCAAUGUAGUUUGCGAUCUCACUCUAUUCGCGCAUCCGUUUGCCUAGUGCUUCAUCUGAAACACUCGGCGCGAUUGUACAUAUGUAGUUUUCGCCUCGUAAGAUUCUCGACCACACAGUUCAGCAUAUUUGCGAAUAUCUUGAAACGACGAUCAUUUCUACAGUUAUUAAAAUUUUCGAAAAUCCAUAAGCUACAUUUCAGCUAUACGUUUUUAGUUUGUGAAUUUGUAAAAUUUUGUUAAUUCAGCCACCCCAGUAUGUACUUGUUAACUGGGACUGCUAGUAAUCAAUAUUCUACUCUACGAGAAGGAGUUUCCUCUGCAUAAUAUAGAAAACGGUAUUUUAUCAUCGUAUCGACAUUAUCACUUCUGAAGUGAAUAAGGUUGGAAUGAAUUUGGAGCUCUGAAAAGGGCCAUUAUUAUUAAAUAGAAGAGCCUGUGGAACACAGGACGUUGUUAUUGCUUCUAUGUUUGAUCAGAAAAAGUGUAAAGUCGAAUUUCACAGCCCAUAAUUCUGGAAUUUGAACCUCGCUCAUAUUUUCAUGCUCAGGCGAAAUCUCAUCAUCCGCAUCCUGCGCAGAUCGUUACUGCGCACUUCAUGGCCUGAUAUUUGGGGUUGUGAAUCGCUCGGCCUAUAGCGGGCCCGAGGCAGAGUUCGAAAUUAUUCGAAUUGUAUCAAAUAAAUAUUUCAUUGAUAUAA